rnacentral:rRNA from 1 species
AUUGAACGCUGGCGGAAUGCUUUACACAUGCAAGUCGAGCGGCAGCACGGACUUCGGUCUGGUGGCGAGUGGCGAACGGGUGAGUAAUGUAUCGGAACGUGCCCAGUCGUGGGGGAUAACGUAGUGAAAAUUACGCUAAUACCGCAUACGAUCUAUGGAUGAAAGCGGGGGAUCGCAAGACCUCGCGCGAUUGGAGCGGCCGAUAUCAGAUUAGGUAGUUGGUGGGGUAAAGGCCCACCAAGCCAACGAUCUGUAGCUGGUCUGAGAGGACGACCAGCCACACUGGAACGGAGACACGGUCCAGACUCCUACGGGAGGCAGCAGUGGGGAAUUUUGGACAAUGGGCGAAAGCCUGAUCCAGCCAUUCCGCGGGCAGGAUGAAGGCCCUCGGGUUGUAAACUGCUUUUGUACAGAACGAAAAGGUUUCUACUAAUACUAGGAGCUCAUGACGGUACUGUAAGAAUAAGCACCGGCUAACUACGUGCCAGCCGCCGCCGUAA